AUAAAAUUUAUUAUUUAGAGGGUUAAUUUAUAUGAUUUGUAAAAUAAGAAUAUUUACUUUUAUUAAUAAAUUUGAAUAAAUAUAUUAUAAUUAUAGAGUAUUAGUAUUGUGAAAGAAAUUAUUUUAUAUAUAAAAAGAAUAAUUGAUUAUUUGUACCUUGUGUAUCAGGGCUUAUUAAUUAUUUAUUUAAGUUUAAUUUAUCUCGAAUUAAUAAGAGUUACUGCUAUAUUUAUUUAUUUUGUAGAAAAAAAUUAUUAAUAUAGAGGUAGAGGUGAAACAUUAUUCGGUUAUUAGUAUAUCUAGUUUUUUAAGAAAAAAAUUUAAUUUUUUAUUAAUAAUUAUUUUAUUAAUUUAUUAAUUUUAUAUUAAUUAAUAUAAAAUAUUUUAAGGGAUAAGCUUUAAAAUAAAAGUUUUUAAGAUUUUUCAAGUUUUAAUUAAGUAGGAUUGUAAGUUUUUAUCUUUAAAAUUGUGUUGUGUAAAUUAAAAUUUUUAAUAUUUAUUAAAAUAAUUUAAUUAAUAAAAAAUUAAAUGUAAUAAUGAUAGGAUUAGUAUAGAAUUUUGUUUGUUAAUUUAAAAUAAAAUAGGUUAAGUAAAGGAAUUCGGCAAAUAAUUUUCCACCUGUUUAUUAAAAACAUGGCCUUUUGAUUAUAAUUUAAGGUCUGGCCUGCCCUAUGAAUUUUAAAUGGCCGCAGUAUACUGACUGUGCAAAGGUAGCAUAAUCAUUAGUUUUUUAAUUGAAAGCUGGAAUGAAAGGUUGAAUGAGAAAAUAGCUGUCUCUAUUUAAAUUUUUUAUAAAUUUAUUUUUAGGUAAAAAAGCUUAAAUUAAAUUAGAAGACGAGAAGACCCUAUAGAGUUUUAUUUAUUUAAUAAAUAAAUAUUUUAGUAUUUAAUUUUUAUUUAUUAAAUAAAUUUAAUUGGGGUGAUUUAAAAAUUUGAUUAACUUUUUAUAAAAUUAUACAUUGAUUUUUGAAUUUAUGAUCCUUAAAUAAAGAUUAAAAGAUAAAAUUACCUUAGGGAUAACAGCGUAAUUUUCUUAAAGAGUUCUAAUCGAAAGGAAAGAUUGCGACCUCGAUGUUGGAUUAAAAUAAAAUUUUGGUGUAGAAGCUAAGAUAUUUAGGUCUGUUCGACCUUUAAAAUUUUACAUGAUCUGAGUUUAAACCGGUGUGAGCCAGGUUGGUUUCUAUCUCUAUUUAAAUGAAAUAUUUUAGUACGAAAGGACCAAAUAUUUGAUUAAAAAUUUUAUUUUUGAAUGGAAUU
rnacentral:rRNA from 1 species